GAUUAACGCUGGCGGCGUGCCUAACACAUGCAAGUCGAACGAUGAAACCUAACUUAUUUCUUCGGAAUGAUUUUACGCGUAUUAGUGUCCGAUGGGUGUCUAACGCGCUAGUAACCUGCCUUGGAGAAGGGGAUAGCUUUUUGAAAAGAAGAAUAUUACCCUAUGUUAUGAUAAUAUCUCUUGAUAUUAUCAUAAAAGAUUUAUCGCUCUAAGAUGGACUUGAGUCUGAUUAGUUAGUUGGUGAGGUAACAGCUCACCAAGGCAGCGAUCAGUAGCCGGCUUGAGAGAGUGUACGGCCACAUUGGGACUGAGACACGGCCCAGACUCCUACGGGAGGCAGCAGUGGGGAAUUUUGCACAAUGGGGGAAACCCUGAUGCAGCGACGCCGCGUGAUUUAGAAGGCCUUCGGGUUGUAAAAAUCUUUUGUAUGGGAAGAAAAUGACAGUACCAUACGAAUAAGGACCGGCUAAUUACGUG
rnacentral:rRNA from 1 species